CCUACGGGAGGCAGCAGUGGGGAAUAUUGGACAAUGGGCGCAAGCCUGAUCCAGCCAUGCCGCGUGAGUGAUGAAGGCCCUAGGGUUGUAAAGCUCUUUCACCGGUGAAGAUAAUGACGGUAACCGGAGAAGAAGCCCCGGCUAACUUCGUGCCAGCAGCCGCGGUAAUACGAAGGGGGCUAGCGUUGUUCGGAUUUACUGGGCGUAAAGCGCACGUAGGCGGACUUUUAAGUCAGGGGUGAAAUCCCGGGGCUCAACCCCGGAACUGCCUUUGAUACUGGAAGUCUUGAGUAUGGUAGAGGUGAGUGGAAUUCCGAGUGUAGAGGUGAAAUUCGUAGAUAUUCGGAGGAACACCAGUGGCGAAGGCGGCUCACUGGACCAUUACUGACGCUGAGGUGCGAAAGCGUGGGGGGCAAACAGGGUUAGAUACCCUGGUAGUCCACGCCGUAAACGAUGAAUGUUAGCCGUUGGGGAGUUUACUCUUCGGUGGCGCAGCUAACGCAUUAAACAUUCCGCCUGGGGAGUACGGUCGCAAGAUUAAAACUCAAAUGAAUUG
rnacentral:rRNA from 1 species